AGAGUUUGAUCAUGGCUCAGAAUGAACGCUGGCGGCGUGCCUAACACAUGCAAGUCGAACGAGAAAGCGGGCUUCGGCCCGUGAGUAAAGUGGCAGACGGGUGAGUAACACGUGGGUAACCUACCCGGAGGUGGGGGAUAACCCUUCGAAAGGAGGGCUAAUACCGCAUGACACCCCGAGAGCUUCGGCUCUCAGGAUCAAAGCUUGCCUCUACUCGUAAGCAAGCGCCACCGGAGGGGCCCACGCCCCAUUAGCUUGUUGGUGAGGUAACGGCUCACCAAGGCGACGAUGGGUAGCCGGCCUGAGAGGGUGAUCGGCCACACUGGAACUGAGACACGGUUCAGACUCCUACGGGAGGCAGCAGUGAGGAAUCUUGCGCAAUGGGCGAAAGCCUGACGCAGCGACGCCGCGUGGAGGACGAAGGCCUUCGGGUCGUAAACUCCUGUCAAGCGGGACGAAUCCUGGUCGGAUGAAUAAGUCGGCCAGUUGACGGUACCGCUGGAGGAAGCCCCGGCUAACUCCGUGCCAGCAGCCGCGGUAAUACGGGGGGGGCCAGCGUUGUUCGGAAUUAUUGGGCGUAAAGGGCGCGUAGGCGGCCGCGCAAGUCGGAAGUGAAAUCCCUCGGCUCAACCGAGGAAUGGCCUCCGAUACUGCAUGGCUUGAGUCCCGGAGAGGGUAGUGGAAUUCCCAGUGUAGCGGUGAAAUGCGUAGAUA
rnacentral:rRNA from 1 species